UACGUAGGGGGCUAGCGUUGUCCGGAAUCAUUGGGCGUAAAGCGCGCGUAGGCGGCCCGGUAAGUCCGUUGUGAAAGUCAAAGGCUCAACCUUUGAAAGCCGAUGGAUACUGCCGGGCUAGAGUCCGGAAGAGGCGAGUGGAAUUCCUGGUGUAGCGGUGGAAUGCGCAGAUAUCAGGAGGAACACCAGAGAGCGAAGGCAGCUCGCUGGGACGGUACUGACGCUGAGACGCGAAAGCGUGGGGAGCAAACAGG
rnacentral:rRNA from 1 species